rnacentral:rRNA from 1 species
AAUUUUGAACAAUGGGGGAAACCCUGAUCCAGCCAUCCCGCGUGUAUGAGGAAGGNCUNNGGGUUNUNAAGUACUUUUGGCAGNNNNNAAAAGGUAUCCCCUAAUACGGGAUACUGCUGACGGUAUCUGCAGCAUAAGCACCGGCUAACUACGUGCCAGCAGCCGCGGUAAUACGUAGGGUGCAAGCGUAAAUCGGAAUUACUGGGCGUAAAGCGUAGGCAGGCGGUUCAGAAAGAAGGAUGUGAAAUCCCAGGGCUCAACCUUGGAACUGCAUUUUUAACUGCCGAGCUAGAGUAUGUCAUAGGGGGGUAGAAUUCCACGUGUAGCAGUGAAAUGCGUAGAUAUGUGGAGGAAUACCGAUGGCGAAGGCAACCCCCUGGGAUAAUACUGACGCUCAGACACGAAAGCGUGGGGAGCAAACAGG